rnacentral:rRNA from 1 species
GUCCACGCCGUAAACGUUGCAUACUCGAUCUUAGCGAUACACAGUUAGGAUCCAAGCGAAAGCGUUAAGUAUGCCACCUGGGAAGUACGUUCGCAAGAAUGAAACUCAAAGGAAUUGACGGGGGCCCGCACAAGCGGAGGAGCAUGUGGUUUAAUUCGAUGAUACGCGAGGAACCUUACCUGGGCUUGAAUGUGAGUGACCUAUGCCGAAAGGUAUCUUCCCUUCGGGGCACAAACAAGGUGCUGCAUGGCUGUCGU